rnacentral:rRNA from 1 species
UACGUAGGGUGCGAGUGUUAACCGGAAUUACUGGGCGUAAAGCGUGCGCAGGCGGUUUUGUAAGUCAGAUGUGAAAUCCCCGGGCUUAACCUGGGAACUGCGUUUGAAACUACAAGGCUAGAGUGUGGCAGAGGGGGGUGGAAUUCCACGUGUAGCAGUGAAAUGCGUAGAGAUGUGGAGGAACACCGAUGGCGAAGGCAGCCCCCUGGGUUAACACUGACGCUCAGGCCCGAAAGCGUGGGGAGCAAACAGG